CUAUAGAACUACAGGAGACAAAGGCAUCCAUAAACCAUCUAUUCUUCCACUGAGUGAUUUAAUUUGGUAAAAGCUACCACUUGUGCAACUCUGGGGUGCUGGUCCCUGUAUCAAUUCAAUCAUGUCUCGCCAGGCAUGCAUAAUUUAUUCUGAAGAUUAACAAGCACAUCCAAUUAGGUCACCUUACAUCUGUUAUCAGAAAUGGUAUGUAUAAUGUUUGCAGGAGCAAUGAGAAAAUCAGAUGGCUGCUAUACGACAGAAUAUGGCUUGUUAGGCUACAUCUACAACCACUAGUUUAUCCUCUUUUCCAGAACUUGAAUGCCCUCAUUUCUCAUUGACUUACUUUUCCCGAAUGUUAUUGACAUAGUUGAUCAUCUGUGCUGGGAUUCCUUGCAGAACAGAGUUUUUGAAACUCAUCCGGUCAACAAAUCUCCCAUCAUGCCCAUUGAUCACAACAACUUGGAUACCAUCUUCGGAGAGAUAAAACUUCCUGCCAUCAACCUGGAAAACAAAUCAGUUCUUGCUGUUAUCAGGGAGACCGGAGCAGUAACAGUUGAUAGUUCUGGAUUUUCAGAAGUAGAGGCUGGUUUGAAAUAUAGUGUAUGAAAGAAAGAAAAGAAAAAGAGAGGCAGACCUCGAAAUACGAAAAUUUUCAAACUUUUAUGUUUAACUUUGUAUUGUUGAUUUAAGGUGCAACGCUGGAAAUUAGUCAAAAUUUAUGUAUUUCACACACCCCAUUUUCAUAUGUAUUAAGCAUCUGGAAACACUGAUGGAAAGGGGGCAGGGAAAUGAAAUAUAAAGUAUCUAGCAACCCCAUAAAACUUAUUUUUGAACAAUUAAUGCUCAAAGGUAUUGCUAGAAAAUGAUGUGGCAAAACAGGCUGGUGAGGUGUCCCAACAAACCAAAGAACUGAGUAAUGAUGGCAUAUUAAAAACUUGCAGGAUAUUCCUCCCCCCCUUUCAUUCUAAGGCAGUCUUGUUGGGCAUUAGGACAAGAAAGCAACAAAUUGGCAGCAAGCUUAUUGCUGCUAUGAAAAUAAGACUGGUUCCAAAUUGCAGCGAAAUGUAAAAAAAUAAUAUUUAUACCAACCAAGGAGCGUGUGUUCAUGUAUAAAAUCAAACAUCUAAGUCCAGCUUUAAUUAUGAUUUGGUAGAAAAUUAAACCCAAUUCUGGAUAUCAACUUGCCUUGCUAGUAAUACGAAAUCCAUUCAGAUUCCAUUCAACAGUACUUUAAAAGAAUUCAGGAACAAAUAUAGAUUCUUCCAGAUAAGUCUUUGUUAGAUCUGUUAGUUUUCUCAAUUAUUUCGAGUUUAUUUCCUCCACUGCGUAUUUUAUAUAUAUUCUGUUACAAAUUGUGUCCCAUAGAAGAUGACCUUUGGCUAUGUUAAAAUAUAAUGAAAAGUUCUAAAACAUAGAGUGUGUUAAAAAUACAGCACAUUACUCAAGAGCAAAGACUUACUGAGAUAUACGCAAAAUCAUCCCUGAGAUGGAAGUAUUUGGUCUUGUAGCUGUCCAGCUUCAGUUCUACAAAAUGGUCCUUGUUCUGGUUUAAAACAGAAAAUAAAGUUGGUAUUUCUAUUGACUUUCAAAA